AUAUACGUAAAAUUCAAGAUUGCUCUGGCUCUUAGCCAUUCAUGCUUGGAUGACAAGGAAGAGAUGAACCAUGCUGCUGUCUAAGCAAUUGGUACAGGAAGCAAGCAUCAACGAGGAAAUCAGAGCUUCUCUGGGAAAGGCAUUACUGUUUUCGCUUGAUCAAUGACACCAGAGUCCAUCUGGGCAGCACUAAAAUUUCCCUACUUUUUCCUACCCCCAUGGGAGCACUGAUCACAAUGUCUUUCCUGCAGUGAAGGUGUUCAUCAUGCACAAGGAUGGGAAUGAUGACAGAAAUGAUCACUUUUGCAACAAGAUUUCUGGAAGAAUUUGAGCUUGAUGCUGAAGGUAUAUCAAUCAUCCUCAGGAUGAUGGAGCAGGAAGAGAAAGACCUCUUCCCUUGGUGGCAUUUUAAGGUGCUAUAUGAGCCCUGAUUUGCUUAAACCAAGACUUCAUUUCACAUGGAGUAAAUAAGUUUCUCCUUUGGGUAAGUCCUCAUUCAUCAGGUUUUAUGGUACUUGUGCAAAACCUAAUCCUAACAUAUCUCAAUUUAUGAAUCAAGAAUGUCCAUAGCAUAUGGCAAAUGUAUGCUAAAAUAAAUUUCAGUAGGGUAGUUCACCUGCUAAUUGAGUUCAUUGAGAAAGCUGAUAUGGGUUACCAAGAGGCCCAGUUGAAGAGAGUAAGAAAACUAUCUAGAUCUGAAAAGCUGAGUUUGUAUGGAGUGGUUUUGAAGGCUCAGAAUGUGACCUGUGGUUGUGUCUGAGAUAACUCUCCAACAUUAACUGAUCAAGGCACUAUGAUUAAGGGAUGUCAUUACUAUAUUUGGGGCCAUCUAUCCUAGUUUAUCUCCUAAAAAUAAAAUAAAAUGGCCAUCAAAGGGUAUGGGAAAGGAAGUACCAGGGUAAAAACAUGCCUGCAAACCACACUGCUCUAGGAAUGUUGUCACAGUGGGGCCUGAAGGUAGCCUGUGGCCUGUUGGAAGGAAAGAAGAUAAAACACAGAAGAUAAAACACCUUUAGCAAAGGUGCUAAAAUAUAUUUAUAAAGCGUAAGUCUUUAUACUUCCCAAUUAUGCAAAACCUUCCAUAAUUCCAUAAGGGGAAUUCCAUAAGGGGAAAAGUUGUAUUUCAACAUUUGAACUUUAAAGUUAUUUGAAGAUAAAACCAAUUUUCCUUGAACUAACACUGAAACAAUUAGACCCAUUGGUAUUUUGAAAAACACUUCUGGUGAGCUCAUCAGAGUUUGGAAGCUCUGUGAAAACAGCUUCCAUAACUUAUAUCAGCUUAAUAGAAACAACAGAAUUCUCUAGACUUAUUUGGGGUCCAUUCAUUAACCUGCUUUGCCUUGUGGCUCAGUUUUCACUUGCCUUGGGUUCCAGUCCUAUGGAGCAAACCACAAAGAGCCCAGUACUUUGGCUGCAAACAUGGGUUUUCAAUUUGGAAAGACAGUCUCUUUCAUUCUGUCCCGAGGCCAGAUGGAGAGGCCACAAAUUUAAGCAAACAUAUUCCUCUGCCCCAGGUACCUCUGAUCUACUCUUUACAGUAGCAAUCCCUGUACAUCUUCUGUAAAAGCACACCCCUCUUUGAGGAAACAUACCCUCUCACACAUUAUUAAUUGAUACAGUUCUUGGGAAGACAAUUUGAUAAGAGCUGCCAACAUUCCAAAUGCAUGCUUGCUUUGACCAAGAAAUUCCAUUUCCAGGACUUCAACAGUUAAAUCUAUACAUAUGAACAAAGACAGAUGUCCAAAGUUACUUAUUGCUAUAGUUUUUAUAAUAGGAGGAAAUGGGGGAGUGGGGGUGGAGAGUUCAUUAACGAAUGAUAAAGUAAAAAAAUUACUGUCUUUGAAAGGAUGUCAAUGUGUUUGUAUGCAACCUGAGUUAGGGUGGAAAUCUAACAACCAUGGGGGAGCUGGUCCAUAAAUCAAAGCCAUCCUGGCUCUUAUUGACAUAACUGAGCUGCAGAAUUAACUUUCUGUAGAGGUGCCUUAUCUUUGGCCUUCUUAUUUUGUAAGAUUAUAAAUCUUCUUCGUGUUUUUAGAAAACUGAAACUGAAUUCUCUAUUACUUUAAGUAUGUAUUACUAAUACAUUCUCUAUUACUUUUGAACCAUCCCAAGAGAGUAUCCUUUGAGAAAGAAGGUUCGGAGAAAUGCUCUGAGAUGACAUUCCUGUUGGUAAGUUGAGGGAGUCCUAUGGCUCUAUGUACCUUCACACUAUGAGACCCCAGCUUCCAUUCCAAUAGUUUAUAUCUCUGAGAAUGUUGCCCUAAAUUUCCCACAGGACCAUUCUCCAUUAUUUUAAAUGGACCCAUGGAAGGAGCUGGAUGAGGGGAAACACUUCAUGGAGGCCUGCAUUUUCCAUCUCUGAGACUCAGGAGACCCAAUAUGUAGUUGCAAGAUUUCUAACUUAGCACUGUUUCUCCCAUGGUCCUGCAGGUGGUCAGAGUUCUUAUUUCAGGUCUUGAAACUGUUCCGGUUGCUUCAUGCAGAAAAGAAUUCAUUAACGGAUAAACUCUUUGGGAUUAAGUGAUAAAACAGUACACCCUAUGUUGAGUUUCCAGAAAUAACUCCCCCUCAAAACCUCACCACAGAAACAGCCCAUCAAGAAUGCUGCUACCUUUGCCUCAGUUAGGAAGCUCCAGAAUCUAGAAUAUUCCAUCAGAGCCAUCUGCUCCAGACCACACUGCUUCCACCUCUGUUUGGGUUAUAAGCAGGAUAUUCACAGCCUACUUCUCUCCCCACAUAACUUAGUUCUUUCAUAACUAUUUAAAACUUUUUUUAUGUUUAAUAAUAUACUUGGAGAAUAUAGGAUAUCUCAGUGUUACAACUCAAUUUUGAGGCAAGCUCUCAAGUAACUGGAUUGGAGCUAAAUAACAUCUGCAUCUUAGGAGCAAGGGAGGCUAGGAAAUGGCCACAUUUAAGCCUCUGGAGUCCGGGGAGGCUGGAAGUGCAAUGGAUCUCUAGGCACAUCCAAUCCACAAUAUCCACAUCCUCUAAAAUGGAAACAAUCCAUCCUCACACCACAAAGGGAAUGUUCUUCAAACCCAACCCUAUCCAUACUGAAGAUAAGACCUCUCAAUAAGCCUAGAAGAUAGUCACUGCUGUUGCCUGGGGAGCAGGUCUCUCUACAUAGCAUUUUAACUGUGUACAUGAUAGGAAGUCAAUGUCUUCCUAGAAAAUCUGCUUUCAAUGUGGUGAAAUGUGCUUGUCAUUCCCAUGAUCACAUUUAAGGUUCUUUUGUCAGUGAAGUAAGCAUUCUGCUUUGUAUGGGUUCUUGUGACUAGAAGCAUGGGACUGGAGCUAAUAAUCAUUAUAAAUUACAAAAACAAAAGUGUGACUGGUCAGAAAAACACAAGGCCAGUCUCAACUCAGCACUAUGGUACUGUUUUGGAAUUGUCAGUAUGUGCCUGCACAUGCAAAAUGGAGGUGAGGAUUACAGCUAUUAUCAGAAUACUUUCAAAUUAAAACAAAAUGAUAUUCUCCUGCAAUUAUCUGGAUGUUUCAGAUAAAUUCUGGGGUAAUUUUGGUCAAAAAAAAUCUUCAUAAUUGACACAGUUAUCUCAUACGUGUACUUCUAGACAUUGCUAAAAAUGUACUGCAAUCAAAGUAGUGCUAUAGGUGAACCCUGUUUCCAGCUUCACAGAGAAGCUGGGAAAGAACAUACGAGAUCAAGAAAUUUCUCUGCUAUCCAAUGUAACAAAAUGCACAUAAAAAUAAGUUAGAAUAGCUAAAAAGAAAGAGAGAGAAAGAAAAGAAAGAAAA